rnacentral:rRNA from 1 species
UACGUAGGAGGCGAGCGUUGUCCGGAGUUACUGGGCGUAAAGGGUGCGUAGGCGGCGCGGUAAGUCGGGUGUGAAAUCUCGGAGCUUAACUCCGAAACUGCAUUCGAUACUGCCGUGCUUGAGGACUGGAGAGGAGACUGGAAUUUACGGUGUAGCGGUGAAAUGCGUAGAUAUCGUAAGGAAGACCAGUGGCGAAGGCGGGUCUCUGGACAGUUCCUGACGCUGAGGCACGAAGGUCAGGGGAGCAAACGGG